GAUGAACGCUGGCGGCGUGCUUAAUACAUGCAAGUCGAGCGAACGGGCCAGAAUCUUGCUUCUCUGAUGUUUGCCGCGGGCGUGAGAGUCACACGUGGAUACCCUACCUAUAAGUCUGGGAAAAUUUCGGGAAACCGGCGCUAAUACCGGAUAAUCUUUUGAACCGCAUGGUUCAAAAGUGAAAUACGGUCGUUCUGUCAGUUAUCGAUGGAUCUGCGCUGCAUUAGCUAGUUGGUAAGGUAACGGCUUACCAAGGCUACGCUGCGUAGCCGAACGGAGAGGGGGAUCGGCCACACUAGAGCUGAGACGCGGUCCAGGCUCCUACGAGAGGCAGCAGUAGGGAAUCUGCCGCAAUGGGCGAAAGUCUGACAGAGCAACGCCGCGUGAGUGAUGAAGGUCUCCGGAUCGUAAAACUCUGUUACUAGGGAAAAACAGAUGUGUAAGUAACUGUGCACAGCUUGACGGUACCUAAUCAGAAAGCCACGGCUAACUACGUG
rnacentral:rRNA from 1 species